rnacentral:rRNA from 1 species
GGGUUGUGAGGUUAAGCGACUAAGCGUACACGGUGGAUGCCCUGGCAGUCAGAGGCGAUGAAGGACGUGCUAAUCUGCGAAAAGCGUCGGUAAGGUGAUAUGAACCGUUAUAGCCGGCGAUGUCCGAAUGGGGAAACCCAGUGCAAUUCGUUGCACUAUCGUUAACUGAAUACAUAGGUUAACGAGGCGAACCGGGGGAACUGAAACAUCUAAGUACCCCGAGGAAAAGAAAUCAACCGAGAUUCCCCCAGUAGCGGCGAGCGAACGGGGAGCAGCCCAGAGUCUGAAUCAGCUUGUGUGUUAGUGGAACGGUCUGGAAAGUCCGACGGUACAGGGUGAUAGUCCCGUACACCAAAAUGCACAGGUUGUGAACUCGAAGAGUAGGGCGGGACACGUGGUAUCCUGUCUGAAUAUGGGGCGACCAUCCUCCAAGGCUAAAUACUCCUGACUGACCGAUAGUGAACCAGUACCGUGAGGGAAAGGCGAAAAGAACCCCGGCGAGGGGAGUGAAAAAGAACCUGAAACCGUGUACGUACAAGCAGUGGGAGCACCUUCGGGUGUGACUGCGUACCUUUUGUAUAAUGGGUCAGCGACUUAUAUUCUGUAGCAAGGUUAACCGUAUAGGGGAGCCGCAGGGAAACCGAGUCUUAACUGGGCGUUAAGUUGCAGGGUAUAGACCCGAAACCCGGUGAUUCAGCCAUGGGCAGGUUGAAGGUUGGGUAACACUAACUGGAGGACCGAACCGACUAAUGUUGAAAAAUUAGCGGAUGACUUGUGGCUGGGGGUGAAAGGCCAAUCAAACCGGGAGAUAGCUGGUUCUCCCCGAAAGCUAUUUAGGUAGCGCCUCGUGAAUUCAUCUUCGGGGGUAGAGCACUGUUUCGGCUAGGGGCCAUGCCGACUUACCAACCCGAUGCAAACUACGAAUACCGAAGAAUGUUAUCACGGGAGACACACGGCGGGUGCUAACGUCCGUCGUGAAGAGGGAAACAACCCAGACCGCCAGCUAAGGUCCCAAAGUCAUGGUUAAGUGGGAAACGAUGUGGGAAGGCACAGACAGCCGGGAUGUUGGCUUAGAAGCAGCCAUCAUUUAAAGAAAGCGUAAUAGCUCACUGGUCGAGUCGGCCUGCGCGGAAGAUGUAACGGGGCUAAACCAUGCACCGAAGCUGCGGCAGCGACACUAUGUGUUGUUGGGUAGGGGAGCGUUCUGUAAGCCUGCGAAGGUGUGCUGUGAGGCAUGCUGGAGGUAUCAGAAGUGCGAAUGCUGACAUAAGUAACGAUAAAGCGGGUGAAAAGCCCGCUCGCCGGAAGACCAAGGGUUCCUGUCCAACGUUAAUCGGGGCAGGGUGAGUCGCCCCCUAAGGCGAGGCCGAAAGGCGUAGUCGAUGGGAAACAGGUUAAUAUUCCUGUACUUGGUGUUACUGCGAAGGGGACGGAGAAGGCUAUGUUAGCCGGGCGACGGUUGUCCCGGUUUAAGCAUGUAGGCUGGUUGUCCAGGCAAAUCCGGAUAAUCAAGGCUGAGGUGUGAUGACGAGGCACUACGGUGCUGAAGUAACAAAUGCCCUGCUUCCAGGAAAAGCCUCUAAGCAUCAGGUAACAUUAAAUCGUACCCCAAACCGACACAGGUGGUCAGGUAGAGAAUACCAAGGCGCUUGAGAGAACUCGGGUGAAGGAACUAGGCAAAAUGGUGCCGUAACUUCGGGAGAAGGCACGCUGGUGUGUAGGUGAAGUCCCUGCGGAUGGAGCUGAGACCAGUCGAAGAUACCAGCUGGCUGCAACUGUUUAUUAAAAACACAGCACUGUGCAAACACGAAAGUGGACGUAUACGGUGUGACGCCUGCCCGGUGCCGGAAGGUUAAUUGAUGGGGUUAUCCGUAAGGAGAAGCUCUUGAUCGAAGCCCCGGUAAACGGCGGCCGUAACUAUAACGGUCCUAAGGUAGCGAAAUUCCUUGUCGGGUAAGUUCCGACCUGCACGAAUGGCGUAAUGAUGGCCAGGCUGUCUCCACCCGAGACUCAGUGAAAUUGAACUCGCUGUGAAGAUGCAGUGUACCCGCGGCAAGACGGAAAGACCCCGUGAACCUUUACUAUAGCUUGACACUGAACAUUGAGCCUUGAUGUGUAGGAUAGGUGGGAGGCUUUGAAGCGUGGACGCCAGUCUGCGUGGAGCCAACCUAGAAAUACCACCCUUUAAUGUUUGAUGUUCUAACGUUGGCCCCUUACCGGGGUUGCGGACAGUGUCUGGUGGGUAGUUUGACUGGGGCGGUCUCCUCCCAAAGCGUAACGGAGGAGCACGAAGGUUAGCUAAUCCUGGUCGGACAUCAGGAGGUUAGUGCAAUGGCAUAAGCUAGCUUGACUGCGAGCGUGACGGCGCGAGCAGGUGCGAAAGCAGGUCAUAGUGAUCCGGUGGUUCUGAAUGGAAGGGCCAUCGCUCAACGGAUAAAAGGUACUCCGGGGAUAACAGGCUGAUACCGCCCAAGAGUUCAUAUCGACGGCGGUGUUUGGCACCUCGAUGUCGGCUCAUCACAUCCUGGGGCUGAAGUAGGUCCCAAGGGUAUGGCUGUUCGCCAUUUAAAGUGGUACGCGAGCUGGGUUUAGAACGUCGUGAGACAGUUCGGUCCCUAUCUGCCGUGGGCGCUGGAGAAUUGAGGGGGGCUGCUCCUAGUACGAGAGGACCGGAGUGGACGCAUCACUGGUGUUCGGGUUGUCAUGCCAAUGGCACUGCCCGGUAGCUAAAUGCGGAAGAGAUAAGUGCUGAAAGCAUCUAAGCACGAAACUUGCCCCGAGAUGAGUUCUCCCUGAGACUUUAAGUCUCCUGAAGGAACGUUGAAGACGACGACGUUGAUAGGCCGGGUGUGUAAGCGCAGCGAUGCGUUGAGCUAACCGGUACUAAUGAACCGUGAGGCUUAACCUUACAACGCCGAAG